CGGUCUUGUUGGGGACCCGGCAUAUGCGAUGCCGGGAUCGGGUGGACGCCGGGGAAGUGGAUGGGGGCGUCGCCUUGGUCUUUGAAGCUGGUAGAAGUGGUGGAGUGGAGGGUCGGUACAUAUAAUUGGACAGCGAGGCUGGUGGCGGCGGAGGGGAAGAAGAGGUAGCAUGGGAGGCCGAGCUCGAUGGCGACUUCGAGGGCGUCGGUGCAGAAGAAGUCGACGACGACGGCGCGGACGGUGGACUUCUCGGAGAGAGAUUCA
rnacentral:lncRNA from 1 species